rnacentral:rRNA from 1 species
UACAGAGGGGGCAAGCGUUGUUCGGAAUUACUGGGCGUAAAGGGCGCGUAGGCGGCCCGCUAAGUCGAACGUGAAAUCCCCGAGCUCAACUCGGGAACUGCGUCCGAUACUGGUGGGCUUGAAUCCGGGAGAGGGAUGCGGAAUUCCAGGUGUAGCGGUGAAAUGCGUAGAUAUCUGGAGGGACACCGGUGGCGAAGGCGGCAUCCUGGACCGGCAUUGACGCUGAGGCGCGAAAGCCAGGGGAGCAAACGGG